ACGAGACUUUAUUGUUCAUUUAAAUUCAAGAGCACUUUCUCAGAAUUUUAAUUCCAGGUUUAAUUAUCAAGUCGCUCAAUGUUGAAUAUUAAAAAGUUUCAGCAUAGUAAUGGACUCUCUUAAAAGUUUUCCUAAAGAUUUAUCGGAGAAUCUGCUCCUAAAAUAUUUAUAUCAAGACACUUUAUAUAUACAUAUACAUACACAAAUGAUUAAGAAUAUACAUGCAAAUCCGCAUGUAUAUUCGAAAAUACAUACAAAGCUCAAAAUCUAAAAAUAAUAGUGACAAUUUUUCAGUAGUAUAUUUGUCCAAAUGUCUGUUACUUUUUCAUGAUAAAACGUGAUGGAGUAAAGAGUGUGCGAAAGAAAAGGGAGAGAGAAGAGAUGACGGAAUGGACACGCGUCUGAAGGAUGACGCAUCGGUACGUUCACCAGUGCUGAUCAAUAGAACUAGUCACGCAGACUCUUUGAGGGUAUUAACCACUGAUUUGUCCAUUCGCGUAUCAUUCUUCUAUGAAAGAAUGGCAGAAGUUACAUAAAGAAUGAGCUUUAUAGAAUGUAUAAAACACGCAACUCAAGACGCGAAGGUUAAGAAUGGCUGUGACCAUCUACACGUGACCAGCAUAUUGGAAUAAUAACAUUUAUCUAACACAAUUAGAAAAUAAGGCAUGGAUCUUAGACCGUUGGAAAUAGUGUUGAUACGAAGAAGAGUUCAUAGUUCUCAUCCUGUGUACGAAUAAAUGAUCGCUGUCGUAUCGCCUACUUGAGAUCUCGCUCCAGGGAAUACGUCACUGACGACAAAUGUGUUUUAUGUCGUUAUUCCAUUCCAAUUAUUCAUUUUAAUGAUAUUUAAAAGUAGACAAAAAGGUACUUAAGGUAAAAAAGGAGUGAAUAUUGUUUGUAAAAUGCAUCAUGUAUCGAAUCAGAAUUUAAUGACAAUUUGUAAGACAAAUUUGGAAUAGAUUUUUAAAAGAAA